rnacentral:rRNA from 1 species
AGCUAAUAGAUACCCGGGUAGUCCUGGCCCUCAACGUUGCUCGCUCGUUUUACGGAGUAUCGACCCUCUGUGAGACUAAAGCUAAACGCGGUAAGCGAGCCGCCUGGGUAGUACGAUCGCAAGAUUAAAACUACAAAGGAAUAGACGGGGACGUCGCACAAGCAGUGGAUUAUGCGGCUUAAUUCGUCGGUAAACGAAGAACCUUACCAAGGUUAGAAACCCAACUGCAUCCGACCUGAAAGGGGCGGGAGCCUUCGAGGGUGUUGGGCAGGUGAUGCAUGGUCGUCGUCAGUUCGUGGUUUGAAACUGUUCCCUUCAGUGGGGUAACGAACGCAACCCCCG